AAGAUGUGAAGUUUGUUAAAAUGAGAGAAAAAGAAAAGAGAAAUAAAGUUAUAAAUCCUGUUAAUAAAGACAGAGGACAGCCUGCUGAACGAACACAACUAAUGUAUCCUGUCUCUCCUUUUCCUGAAUCAAAACAGGGCAUAUUUAUCUGUUAACAGGUUACUCAUGCUUGAGGCCUGUAACACCUUGGUGAAGCUGAAAUGCAUUUUAAGCUCCUCCCAUUGGUCCAGGAUCAGAGUCACAGCAGGCUCUAUGGACAGCCAAUGUGUGGCACACACCUUUGUGAUCUUAAUAGUUUUCUUAAUAUGCUUUUGAUGUGUUUUUUUAUGCCCCUAAUUUUUGCAUAGAAGUCUGCCUUGCGGUAACGACAGUAUGUCCUUGAAUCAUUGCCCAUACAGGGCUUCAACCAACCUUUAAAGUCUCAAUGUGACUCCCAAUUCUUCCUAUAUAUGGUAGCAAGCUGUAGAUGGCGGUCAGCACCCUCAGAGUUUGGAGAAGCAGGCAGGAGUACUGACAUGGAAGCUAAGUAAUGUAAUGCUUAGUUCAGUUCCGAAAGUCACACAAUAACACAAGCAAACAGAUCAAGGCAAUGGAAGACCAGCAACUUCUGUGUUCAGCGAUGUAAAAUUAUUGUUUUUGUCAAAGGAGCAAGGAGCAAGGAGAGAGCGUCUACCAGAAGAGAGCUGGAGUAACUGUGAGAACACUGCAAAGAAGGAGGGUAAAUCAGGGUGAGUCAGGAAGAGCAGAGCAAGACGGCAAGUUAAUCUCCCACGGGAUAAGUUCAUCUUUCCCACGUUGACUGAAGUAUUUGUGACACAUCCAACCUUUGGCAGGCAUUCGGAAGGUCAAUGAUUAUAAUGUAAUCUCUUUAAAUGUCUCGUGAUCAGUCUCUGUCCAUGUGCCUCUCUAAGCACUUCUUUCUCUCUUUCUUUGUGUCUCUAUCUCUGUCACUUUCCCUCAGUUGACUCUCCUAAAAUAAAUAAUAUUAUUAGAAUUAUUGUUUUACCCCACAUUAGAGCUGUUAAAUGUUAUGAAAAAAUGCCACUCACCAUCUCACAUAGGCUUUUUUUGGUUCUUUCCGGUGAAUGAGUCUCCACAACUCACCGGCCAAUAUCCCUCUAAUUUCACUUCAAAUUGACCUAAAUAAAUGUGUGCACAAGUGGACAAAUAAGCCAAUAGGAAGAAACAAACAGAUUUACUAGCCAUUAUGGGCUCUGCAUCGGGCUCCAAAUGUCAACAAGGAACAAUAAUCUUUUCUGGUGACCGAAAUCCGAGGCAGGGCAUUUAUCAUUGUACUUUUUCUUUUUCCAAAUGUCACUCUGAUUUCAGUCUGCCUAGUUCUGGCCAUGGGCUUUUUCAAUAUCCAUAGUGAAUACAAAAAUUAAAAAAAACAUUCUCAUAAGCUGACAGAGAGAGAUGGAUUUUGAAAAUAAAGCAAUAACUGAAAAUGAUCCAUUCAUGCACUGACACGAUGCUGUUGAAAAGAAAUGAGCUGAAAAGUUUGUAAAACUGUAUUAGCACAAGGACAAGGUAUUUCCAUGGUGCGAACUACAGGGAAGCUGGGGGAGCUUGGCUCCUUAAUAAGACAUGGGCUCCCCUGACGUGAUUUGUGAAAUUUUUUGACACAUACUGACAAUGUGUCAUUUUGUGUGUCAUCAAGGCGUGGCGGUGCUGUGGUACAAAUUUAACUCAUGUUUAGUACAUGUUAACUCAAAGAUUCGUAGAAAAAAUAUAAACGUUGGAGGCCAUUAAUUGGCGCGCAAAGUCCUUGCAAUCUUUUCUGCAGUUAGCAUCAUAUAGUCAUGGCAAAAAGAAAACAAGGCAGUUUAAUUAAUUUUGGUUUUACUAAGAAACUGUGUAGCAAUGACGUUAAUAGCACGACCGAUUCACCUACUGCAAGCUCUGUUAGCACACCUCCCGCCGGGAUGACAACGCAAGAAGAAGCUGAAGAAAUAAUGUGUGAUGGUUGGGGUCGGCUGGCUGUGAGUUUUUGUUUUUGUUUUCUAGUUUUCUAGUUCUAUUUCAUUUCCACUGUCAGUUUCCUCCGUUGGCCCCUGCCUCUCUCUGUGUCUCCUGUGUUUUCCCCUCUCCAAACCUCCAAACCCUCUCCUCUGCCAGCUGACUACACACACCUGCUCGUCAUUCCACCAUCACCUCUCCCGCCAUGCACACCUGCCAGCCAUCUACAAUCAAGCUCAGUAUAUGAACCCCGGAUCCACUCAUCAUCUUGGCUUGAUCGUUGCUUCAGCCACCCUGUCAUCUCCUCCAUACCCCUCAGUUACCCUCAGCUGGCUUCACCAUCUUCGCCAUCCUAUUCCCCACUAACUCCCUCACCAUCCUACCUCAGUCCCAGAAGCCCUCACUCCUACCCUUGGCGUCCGCCUCCCCACUCCUCCCUCUUUUCCCCAAAUAAACCUGUUUUUGCUGA